GGGAGUGAAAUAGAACCUGAAACCCUGCACUUACAAGCUGUGGAAGCACAUUUCUUGUGUGACCGCGUACUUUUUGUAGAACGGGCCAACGAGUUACGUUAAGUAGCAAGGUUAAGCACUUAAGGUGCGGAGCCGUAGCUAACGCGAGUUUUAACUGAGCGUUCAGUUACUUGACGUAGACCCGAAACCGGGCGACCUACCCAUGAGCAGGAUGAAGCGAAAGUAAAAUUGCGUGGAGGUCCGAACCCACGAGCGUUGAAAAGCUCGGGGAUGACUUGUGGGUAGCGGUGAAAUUCCAAUCGAGCCCGGAGAUAGCUGGUUCUCCCCGAAAUAGCUUUAGGGCUAGCCUCAAGGUGAGAGAGACGGAGGUAGAGCACUGAAUGUCCUAGGGGGUAUUGCACCUACCGAAGACUAUCAAACUCCGAAUGCCGUCAUCUUAUACUUGGGAGUCAGACUGUGGGUGAUAAGAUUCAUAGUCGAAAGGGCAACAGCCCAGAUCGUCAGCUAAGGUCCCUAAAUGUAAGUUAAGUGGUAAAGGAUGUGGGAUUGCACAGACAACCAGGAUGUUGGCUUAGAAGCAGCCACUCAUUCAAAGAGUGCGUAAUAGCUCACUGGUCGAGUGAUCCUGCGCCGAAGAUUUCCGGGGCUAAAACUUACUACCGAAGCUACGGCAUCAGUAAUGAUGGGUAGGGGAGCUUCCCAUACGGGUUGAAGCAUGACCGUAAGGACAUGUGGACAGUAUGGGAGUGAGAAUGUUGGCAUGAGUAGCGAGAUGUGGGUG
rnacentral:rRNA from 1 species